rnacentral:snRNA from 1 species
GUGUUUGCUUCGGCAGCACAUAUACUAAAACUUGAACGAUAGAGAAGAUUAGCAUGGCUCCUGCGCAAGACUCGCAAAUUCGAGAAGCAUUCCAUAUUUUU